GAUGAACGCUAGCUACAAGCUUAACACAUGCAAGUCGAGGGGUAACGAGAGGAAAGCUUGCUUUCCUUGUCGACGACCGGCGCACGGGUGAGUAACGCGUAUCCAACCUGCCCCCAACUAGGGAAUAACCUUGCGAAAGUAAGACUAAUACCCUAUAAUUUCCUCAGAUGUCAUCUGACGAGGAAUAAAGAUUUAUCGGUUGUGGAUGGGGAUGCGUCUGAUUAGCUUGUUGGCGGGGUAACGGCCCACCAAGGCAACGAUCAGUAGGGGUUCCGAGAGGAAGGUCCCCCACAUUGGAACUGAGACACGGUCCAAACUCCUACGGGAGGCAGCAGUGAGGAAUAUUGGUCAAUGGGCGGAAGCCUGAACCAGCCAAGUAGCGUGCAGGAUGACGGCCCUAUGGGUUGUAAACUGCUUUUAUACAGGAAUAAAGUUAGCCACGUGUGGUUAUUUGUAGGUACUGUAUGAAUAAGGACCGGCUAAUUCCGUGCCAGCCGCCGCAGUAA
rnacentral:rRNA from 1 species